CACGUAGGGCGCGAGCGUUGUCCGGAAUUAUUGGGCGUAAAGAGCUCGUAGGCGGCCUGUUGCGUCCGCUGUGAAAGCCCGGGGCUUAACCCCGGGUCGGCAGUGGAUACGGGCAGGCUAGAGGUAGGUAGGGGAGAAUGGAAUUCCCGGUGUAGCGGUGAAAUGCGCAGAUAUCGGGAGGAACACCGGUGGCGAAGGCGGUUCUCUGGGCCUUACCUGACGCUGAGGCUCGAAAGCGUGGGGAGCAAACAGG
rnacentral:rRNA from 1 species